UACUUUUCAUUUUUGGAAAAUUUUUUUGCAUUCAUCUUCUCUGCCCAAAUCAAUUUUUGCAUCUAGUAUAGCUUCAUCCAAGUAGAAAAAAGAAGAUGAUGAAUUUUUGCUAUUUUAUUUGGAGUUAUGUUAAUCAUCUAACAAGCAAAAAUUUACCUAUGUUGUUAAAGGAAAUGAUUUGGACAUGUUGAUAGAAAAUGUACCUGGCAUGGAAGAUCUUCUACGGCGUCGAGAUUUUCCAUUCUAUCGCCUCACCGAUUGUGCAACCGACCUCUAUUGUCAACUUGCUCUCAAGGAAAUCCAAAGUAUACCUCGAUCCCAUGGACUCAUAUUAAAUACAUUUGAAGAUUUGGACGGUCCAUUACUCUCUAACAUUCGGUCUCAUUGUCCACAAACGUAUGCGGUUGGGCCGCUACACUUGCAACUCAAAACUAGGCUUGCUGAUAAAACAAUGUCCUCUUCAAAUAGUUUGUGGGAAGAAGAUCACAGUUCAAUUCAAUGGCUUGAUGCACAGCCCAUAGAAUCAGUAAUCUAUGUAAGUUUUGGAAGUCUUGCAACUUUGACAAAGGAGGAAAUGUUGGAGUUUUGGCAUGGAUUAGUAAAUAGCGGAAUCAGAUUUUUGUGGGUCAUGAGGUCCGACUUAUUGAGGGAAGAAGAGUUCAGCCACCAACUUGUCAAGGAGCUAGCCGACGGUUGCAAAGAAAGAGCCUACAUAGUGAGUUGGGCUCCACAAGAGAAAGUACUAUCCCACCCUGCUAUUGGUGGAUUUUUAACUCACAGCGGAUGGAACUCGACUAUGGAAAGUAUUGUUGAAAGAAAACCCAUGAUCUGUUGGGCUGUUUAUGUAGACCAACGAGUCACAAGUAGAUUUGUGAGUGAAGUGUGGAAAAUUGGGUUGGACAUGAAAGACAUUUGUGACAGAGACAAUAUUGAGAAGGUGGUGAAAGAUUUGAUGGUAACAAAUAAGGAGAAAUUGAAGAAAUCAGUUGACAAGUUAUCUAUGUUGGCAGAAAUUAGUGUUGGAGAAGGAGGUUCAUCGUACAAUGCUUUUGAAUAUCUCGUCGAUGACAUUAAAAAGUUAGGAAGAAGAGACAAGGAUAUCAACCCUAACUGCAUAAGAUAAACAGGGUAAUACUACCAAUCAUUGUUUUGUAGUCAAAGAUUAUAUUUUUUUCUUGUUCUUUUACCGGAUACUGCAAGUUAUUCAUACAGGUACACUAGAUGAGAUAAAGCCUGCCUUAGCAUGGGUCGAGCUUAAUGUUAGUGUAUAAAAUUGUAUUUUUUUGCCUUUCAAAUAGGUUCCUCUUUAAAAAUUGAAGUCAUGUCUGACAUAAUUUUUCAUGCUCAAGUAGAAACUAGUAUGUUACAUUAGAAUUUGAUAGAAAGACUAGGAAGUCAGUCUCUUCAUUGUCUUUCUCCUUUCCCUAUUAUUCCAGCCUGAUAGUGAUGUAAAUACACCUUGUAUAAACUAGUAUGUUGCAACUUUAAAAUGCACGUUUCGGAGGAUACCUCUCACCCUUUCCUAUUCUUUGUUUCAAUAGACUCAUUCCAUGGGGUGUGAUUGUUUGAAACUAGUCCCAUUAUCCUGUUGUUGGCUGUUCUUGCACAACUUCAACUCCAUGGCAACUUGCUGAGACUGCUUCUUGUCUGGUGUCCACUUUUGCUGGAACUUCAAAUAUUAAGACAUCACUGUGCUUUGGACUUUGGAAUAGCUUUAACACACUGUUUAUGAAGGCCAGCCUGCCUCCAGAGGAUAGAUACUGCCUUUUCCAUGUGGCUUAGCCUUCUUUAAAAGAAAAUCCACCACUUGAUAUUCAUUGUAGUUGUUCUUUUAUGUUUUGCUCCUUAUAGCAGUCCUAGCUUUGAUUUACGCCUUACGAUUCCUGCUGCUGAAUGUUUAGUGAAGUUCCCAGACAAAAUUGCAGAAACUUAGCAGUGAGGAAAAAGUUUUUGUUGUAUAUAGCAUACCUUAAAAUUUCUAUUAUUCAACAACGUAUAUUGAUGCUUUUCUAUUCAUUCAUGACCAAAUGUUUGAGAAAUUAGCUUAGCUCUCCUAUUUAUUUUGAAAUCUAGACAUUGUGAGCAUGCGUGUAGUUUUUUGGGAAUAUUUGGUUGUCAUUGACAACAAAUCUAGUAUAUACCUCCAGAUGUUCAUGCCCUUUCUCCUUACCAUGUACAGAGUGAGAUUUAUCACUUAGGUUUAACCUCAUUUCUUUAAAUCAUGACAUGAAUAUCAUUUAUAACCCUCAGCUAGGCAUUAAUCAAAUGUGGAUCUUUGAAUAUGCUCCAGGAUAUUCUAAUCUAUUCGUAAUCACUUAAUUUAAGACUUAAAAAUGAAAAAUUAAUUGAGAUAUCCGCAAAACUUAUGUAAACGAUAUUAUUCUUUAAAAAGAUAAUUAUAUGAAAUAAAAAGGAGCAUUAGCUAGACUUCAAAACAUGAAAAGGACUUGAAAUGUUUCAAGAAGAUCUUGAAUACUCAAAACAUAUAAGAAUUUUGCAAGCAUCACCACAAACGUCAGCCCAUAUCUUUAGACUAAUUAUAAGAUCGUAUUAACACCUUUUUAUAGUAUAGAUUAAUAAAACGGAGUUGGACAUGCCCAUUCGCCUUAUUUAGAGAGUUAUCUUAGUCAAAGUCGAGAUAUAUUGCUAUAAUAUAUCAAAUUUUGAACACUUUUAAUGAAAUUGCUGAUUUUCAUCACUGAAUAUAGUAAAAAGUUUGUUUUGCUUUUUUUCUCCUUUGGCCUUACCGUAUAAGUAACCUCGAUUGAUACUUCCGUUUAAAUAGCAAUUGCAAGUGUAACUGAAAAAUCUUAUCCUCCUUGGACUUUUUCUAUGAGCAAGCAACAUAUUAAAUUUUAAAUUCUUUGUGACAGAAGCAAAACAUUUCCUUAAUCAACACACAAAAUUGAGGAUUACGACUUUGAAUUUAGAAAGGCUCUGCUGUCGACAUCCAGAUAAGCAAUUUGGUUGGGACUUUAUGACAAUCUUUAACGUAAGGCCGUUUAUACUUAAGUUAUAUACACAAACAAUUUAUUUAAACAUUGAGUAUAUAACAUGUUAUUUACUUCUGUUUACUAUAUACAGUUGCCAAUUUUACAAGUAAACUAAAUUAGAUUUAAAAUUCUAUAACAUAUAAUAUUAAGUCUUCCCAUAAAUCAUAAUCAUACCACGCCAAAAAAGCUUAGUCCCACUAGCCUUAGAUUAUCACAAACUAAAGAAAACUCAACUCCCCAUUGCCCCUCCAAUAUGUCAAAUAUUUUACAACAAAAAAUCGUGUCUCAUUUCUUUUCUUGCUUUCUAAUCAGAGCCAGAUAGAAUUUUGUCCUGAUGGAAUUGAAUAACUUCUUUCCCACUUCGUCUUAUACAAAAAUAUUUAUCUUCCCAUAGUAAGGUACAAUCAUCACACAGACAGUAAAAUACCAAUCGUUUGGUAAAUAAAAUAUAAUCCAGGAUUAUAUUUAUAGCGCCAUAAAUCACGUGAGAUAAUAAUUUUAUUUUAAAAGAAGUUGAUUCAUAUCAAACGAUCCCUUUAUUAGAAAAAUCAUAUCAUUGAUUUAGUGAACACCUUAAAUAAUUCAUGGUGGGUCCAUAUUCGUAGUGAUAGGUUCAAUUUCAGGGAUGAAGAACUGAUCAGUUGAAUAUUUUUUUUUUUUUUAGAAACUAGAUCACUUAUAUAGUUCAACAUUACUUUCUAUACAUUUAUUUUAAAAUCUUAAAUAUUUAUUUCGAGUUGUUAUAAUUAACCAUAUCAAAUAACAUACCCGAUAUAAUCUGAUAAAAAUAUAAAUAUAACUAGUUAUUUUUAGAAUUAUAAUUUUCAAAAUUUAAUAUUUUUGAAAUUCGGUUUAACCGGUUAAUUAUACACUAGAAUAGGCCACUAAAUAAAAGCUUUUCUAGUACAUUUCCACAAAUUUACACGCACACGCACUAACAAAAAAGUUAGUUCCUUGUCCAUAUAAUUAUACCAAAAUAUAAGUGGAGGAACCAUAGUACAAAAAAAAUAAAAAUAUCAAGAUUCUCUUGAAGAAAAAAGAAAAUGGGUAACAACAUAGGAGGAACUACGAAGAAGACAAAGGUAAUGAAGAUUAACGGCGAAAUCCUUAAACUGAAGACACCAAUAACAACGUUAGAGGUAGUUAAAGAUUACCCAGGUCAUGUUUUAUUGGAAUCAGAAGCAGUGAAGAAAUUUGGGAUUAGAGCUAAGCCAUUAGAGCCAGAACAAGAGCUGAAGCCGACCAAAAUAUAUUUUCUUGUAGAAUUGCCUCUGUUUCCUAAAGAAGAAAUUAUUACUAGUAAUAAUAAGGUUACAAGAAGGGUGAAAUCUGAUGUUUAUAUGAACGCACAAGAUCGGCUGGAGUGCCUUAUGUUAAGCCGGAGAUCGGCUUCAGAUUUAUCGAUUUCGAAGCCGAGUAAUGGAGCUGUUGUUCAGCUGAAGAUGAAGCUGCCUAGAAGUGUCGUACAAAAGUUGAUUGAAGAAAGCAGAGAUGAAACAGAGGUUGCUGAGAAAAUUAUGGAUCUUUGUAUGCACAAUUCCUAAAAUUUACUUUGUUUUGCAUCUUUUUUUUUUGUUUGGUCGUGAAUUGCUAUAAACAAUAGGCUCAAAAUCUAGUUUCAAAAAUUGCAUAUAUAGUUUUAUAGAAAUUUCUGUUUAGUUGCUGUUAGUAUUGUUAUAAUUAGUGUUAUUUUUCAACAUUUUUUUUUCUCUGUGUUAAUGGAUUGAUUCGUGGUUUAGCUAAGGAUCUGAGAUCAUUUGUGACCAUUCGUCAAGUAUGACAAAUAUUCUUGUUGCUCUUAUCCAUCCCACUUCUAUUUUGUUUUUUUCUCUCCCUCCAAAUUUAUUUGAUUCCACUACGUUAAUUUUGCCUUUCGGUUUUGGUCGUUAUACAAUCUCGCGAGAUUAUAUUGAAUUUAAUUUUGUUAUUGUAAUUGUUAUUGUUACUAUUAUUUGAAAGAAUCUAUUCAAUUAAAAAAAAAAAUACUAUAUUUAGUAUAAUUACAAGGUCCUUUUUAUUUAUAUAUUAGAUUCUGUAAUCAGAAAAAAGAAAUUGUUAUCGAUUGCAUUAUCAUCGAGAGAAGUAAAUAAAUCCCUGACUGGAGUACUUCGAUUAAUUUUGUAUAGUUAAACUAAAAAAUGUACUUAUUUUUCAUGCGUAAGUAGAUAGAACUUCAUUGUUAUUAACCUUAGAAAAGAAUUGAAAGUAAAUUGAUUGAACAGUAAUUUAUUUGAUUUUAUUUAUCUUUUAGCCGAAACUAAAGACCCCACCCACCCCUUUUUCAAUUUUAAACCAUGCUUCAGUUUCUACCUUUAUCUGCCUUUUCCUAAACAAAUUGUACUUCCCGAUCCCUAUCCUACCUACUGUUUUCAGCUAUAUUGGUUGCAAUUGAUCUUCAAAUGGAAUUCCUUUUAACAACAAACAUAUUUGAGUUCGAUAAUUUUGAUUCAAAGACAGAUUUAUUUUAAAAUUUAAAGUUUUAUCUGUCAAUGAUUAUAGUAUAAUUUCAACCUCUUUUGAUAACAAAUAAUCUUUGAAAGUUUUUGUUCGACUCAAAUUCAAUUGAAAGCUUGAAGCUUUGUUCGUAAAAGAUUAUAGUAUUUUCAAUCUAUUUCAACAACUAAUUGAUAUGAACCAAAAAUUAAAAUCGAAUCUCUUGUUUUUAAUUGAAAACACAUGGUAUUGUAUUUUUUUUAAUUUGUAGAAUGACUGUAAAUGAAGAUGAAUUAAACAAACAUUUUUUUCUUUGUUUAAUUUAAUAGGUUUUGGGUUUAUGUUUGAAUGGAGAUAAAGGGCUAGCUUGUUUUUUAUUUUUAUUUUAAAUGUCAUCAUAUUUGUUCGAGGAUAUUGAAAAAGAAAGGAUUUUUUAAAAUUUUUGAAUAAAAAUAAAAAUAAAUUUGGCGUGUCUAUCCGUUAGCCCUGAGGUAUACACAAUUCAAUAAAAUUGACAUAAAAAUAUACACCAUCUUAAAGUUUAUAAGAGUGGUUAUUGACGUUAUUAGUAUCAUGAUUCAAGAUAUAUUUAUCAAACAUUAAUAAAUUGAACUAGAAACAAGGAAAACUACAACAACUCCAUUUAUUAAUGGAAUCCUAGGCUGAGUAUCUUUGACAAAUCUUUUUCUCUCGUCAUUCUUUAAAAACUUAUCAGUAAUAAUAGCAAUGGAGCAGCUACAUAUAUAUAUAUCUAUCUUAUCUCUCAUUCCCAACAAGAACAGCAGAAGAAGCAAAAAUGUGUCCUCAUGUGCUUCUCUUUCCCCUUCCAAUUCAAAGCCCUAUCAAUUCCAUGCUUCAACUUGCUGAGCUUUUUUGCCUUGCAGGUUUACAAGUUACUUUCCUCAACACGAAUCACAAUCAACAGCUUCUCUAUCGUCACACCGACGUCGAAUCUAGAUUCAGGCAAUAUCCUAAAUUUCAAUUCCGGACUAUUUCCGAUGGUCUUCCCGACGAUCAUCCCCGGUCGUCUCUUCUGUUUGGAGACCUUAUUACUUCCUUGCAAGCUGUGGCAGAGCCUUUUCUUAGAGAAAUAGUAACAGAAUCCGGUGUCACGUGUGUUAUACCUGAUGGAUUAUUUUAUUAUGCAGUGGAUAUUUGUAAUGAGCUUGGAGUUUCUGUUAUUUCAUUUGAUACUAUUAGUCCUUGUUGUCUAUGGGUUUAUCUCUGUUUCCCUAAACUCAUUCAAUCUGGAGAUAUUCCCUUCAAAGGUACUUUUCAUUUUUGGAAUUGUAUUAAUAUUAGUGAUUUAUGGCCAAGUAAAUUUUUUUUUAAUUAUGUUGUUAAGGAAAUGAUUUGGACGUGUUGAUAGAAAAUGUACCUGGCAUGGAAGAUCUUCUACGGCGUCGAGAUUUUCCAUUCUAUCGUCUCACCAAUUGUGCAACCGACCUCUAUUGUCAACUUGCUCUCAAGGAAAUCCAAAGUAUACCUCGAUCCCAUGGACUCAUAUUAAAUACAUUUGAAGAUUUAGACGGUCCGUUACUCUCUAAUAUUCGCACUCAUUGUCCACAAACAUAUGCGGUUGGACCGCUACAAUUGCAACUCAAAACU
rnacentral:lncRNA from 1 species